rnacentral:rRNA from 1 species
UACGGAGGAUGCAAGCGUUAUCCGGAAUGAUUGGGCGUAAAGCGUCCGCAGGUGGCUGUGUAAGUCUGCUGUUAAAGAGUGAGGCUCAACCUCAUAAAAGCAGUGGAAACUACACAGCUAGAGUGCGUUCGGGGCAGAGGGAAUUCCUGGUGUAGCGGUGAAAUGCGUAGAGAUCAGGAAGAACACCGGUGGCGAAAGCGCUCUGCUAGGCCGCAACUGACACUCAUGGACGAAAGCUAGGGGAGCGAAUGGG